UACGUAGGGUGCGAGCGUUGUCCGGAAUUAUUGGGCGUAAAGAGCUUGUAGGCGGCCUGUUACGUCUGCUGUGAAAGCCCGGGGCUCAACUCCGGGUCUGCAGUGGAUACGGGCAGGCUAGAGUCCGGCAGGGGAGACUGGAAUUCCUGGUGUAGCGGUGAAAUGCGCAGAUAUCAGGAGGAACACCGGUGGCGAAGGCGGGUCUCUGGGCCGGUACUGACGCUGAGGAGCGAGAGCGUGGGGAGCGAACAGG
rnacentral:rRNA from 1 species